GUGGAACACUCUGGGCAGGCCUGUGGGUUUUCUUCUGGGAUAGUCUGAACUGAAGCUGGGAGGGGGCCAUAGUGCUCACUCUCUUACCUUUGUUUCCUUUGCUCUGGAUUUUAAUUUUUGUAGGAGAGAAGUCAGCCCUAGGACUGGAUCAGUUAUGAAAGGCUGUGGGGAAUUUCCUAUUACAAAUCAGAAAACAACUUAGAUGUUUUCAACGCUUAACUUCAGGGCACUUGCUCCAAGACCCUCCUGUCAACACGCAGCUUCUGUUCCACCUGAGCUCCAGCUACCUGUGAGCAGGGCCAACAUCAUGACGUAGACAAGUGGUUGGACUUGAUGAUGCCUGGAACCGAUGACACUGAAUGGCCAACAAGCCAUGGAGAGAUCUGUGACAUUUUGAAAAGGGUGUGUUGUAAAAGGUCAAAUCUUUUGUUUUCCAGUCCAAGUAGUAACAGUUCUGUUGUUUGAAACCUACAUACUCCUUAGAAGACUUGUUCUACUUAGAGUGGAAUAUUAUGCCUGGGGGUGGGGGGCUGGGGCGGGGAAGAAAUCAACACAAAGAAACUACAAAAAAGAGCAGGAAAGAAAAACAGUUAAGUGCAGCUCCUGUGAGUCCAGCAGUUUUUUUCCUCAAUGUAACAAGAGGUUAUCUGUCUGUCAAGUCUGUAGGGCCACCCUUACACACUGAAAUGGAGGUGGAUUAAAUGCAUGAAGCACCUGCUCUAACACAGAAAACUUGCAGAUGUUAUCAAGCAGUUCCAUCUGAACUUUAACAGGACAAACAAAAGGAAAUCAUCCGUAGCUGGAAACAAACAAAACUGCAAAACAAACAAAACGAAAUCCACGCGAGAAGUCCUGUGUGAUUCCAGAGUAGAAAUGGAGUGAUUUGAAAUGUCAACGCCUCCCCACCCCCAUUUGGUAAAGAAAGAAAGUACACGUCGAAAAAUUCUAAUUCCACAUGGGAACAACAAAAAACUGUCUUACCCACAGUGCCCUGCCCACAAGUCCCCUGAGCGAGGCGAGGUGGCCCCCGCGACGUCCUGGCAGCGCUGAGGAGAAGUCCGACCGCAGGGGCCUCUACCUGCCGAGAGAAUGCGCUGGCAACGUGGGUGGGAGGCAGCGUCCCCUUCUGGCACCACAGAGUUGACAUUAAAGUAAGAAAAGCUCUCCUAGUGGCCAGA
rnacentral:lncRNA from 1 species